rnacentral:tRNA from 1 species
AAUUAAGUAGGUUAAACCAUAUAAACUUUUGAGUUGUGGUCUCAAUAAUACUUUGAUGUCUUAAUUC